GAUGAACGCUGGCGGCGUGCUUAACACAUGCAAGUCGAACGAUGAACCGGGUGCUUGCACUCGGGGAUUAGUGGCGAACGGGUGAGUAACACGUGAGCAACCUGCCCCUGACUCUGGGAUAAGCGCUGGAAACGGCGUCUAAUACUGGAUAUGUCCCGUCACCGCAUGGUGUGCGGGUGGAAAGAUUUUUCGGUUGGGGAUGGGCUCGCGGCCUAUCAGCUUGUUGGUGAGGUAAUGGCUCACCAGGGCGUCGACGGGUAGCCGGCCUGAGGGGGUGACCGGCCACACUGGGACUGAGACACGGCCCAGACUCCUACGGGAGGCAGCAGUGGGGAAUAUUGCGCAAUGGGCGGAAGCCUGAUGCAGCAACGCCGCGUGAGGGAUGACGGCCUUCGGGUUGUAAACCUCUUUUAGCAGGGAAGAAGCGAGAGUGACGGUACCUGCAGAAAAAGCACCGGCUAACUACGUGCCAGCCGCCGCGGUAA
rnacentral:rRNA from 1 species